AAAUUGAAGAGUUUGAUCAUGGCUCAGAUUGAACGCUGGCGGCAGGCCUAACACAUGCAAGUCGAGCGGUAGCACAGAGAGCUUGCUCUCGGGUGACGAGCGGCGGACGGGUGAGUAAUGUCUGGGAAACUGCCUGAUGGAGGGGGAUAACUACUGGAAACGGUAGCUAAUACCGCAUAAUGUCGCAAGACCAAAGUGGGGGACCUUCGGGCCUCAUGCCAUCAGAUGUGCCCAGAUGGGAUUAGCUAGUAGGUGGGGUAACGGCUCACCUAGGCGACGAUCCCUAGCUGGUCUGAGAGGAUGACCAGCCACACUGGAACUGAGACACGGUCCAGACUCCUACGGGAGGCAGCAGUGGGGAAUAUUGCACAAUGGGCGCAAGCCUGAUGCAGCCAUGCCGCGUGUGUGAAGAAGGCCUUCGGGUUGUAAAGCACUUUCAGCGGGGAGGAAGGCGGUGAGGUUAAUAACCUCACCGAUUGACGUUACCCGCAGAAGAAGCACCGGCUAACUCCGUGCCAGCAGCCGCGGUAAUACGGAGGGUGCAAGCGUUAAUCGGAAUUACUGGGCGUAAAGCGCACGCAGGCGGUCUGUCAAGUCGGAUGUGAAAUCCCCGGGCUCAACCUGGGAACUGCAUUCGAAACUGGCAGGCUAGAGUCUUGUAGAGGGGGGUAGAAUUCCAGGUGUAGCGGUGAAAUGCGUAGAGAUCUGGAGGAAUACCGGUGGCGAAGGCGGCCCCCUGGACAAAGACUGACGCUCAGGUGCGAAAGCGUGGGGAGCAAACAGGAUUAGAUACCCUGGUAGUCCACGCCGUAAACGAUGUCGAUUUGGAGGUUGUGCCCUUGAGGCGUGGCUUCCGGAGCUAACGCGUUAAAUCGACCGCCUGGGGAGUACGGCCGCAAGGUUAAAACUCAAAUGAAUUGACGGGGGCCCGCACAAGCGGUGGAGCAUGUGGUUUAAUUCGAUGCAACGCGAAGAACCUUACCUGGUCUUGACAUCCACAGAACUUUCCAGAGAUGGAUUGGUGCCUUCGGGAACUGUGAGACAGGUGCUGCAUGGCUGUCGUCAGCUCGUGUUGUGAAAUGUUGGGUUAAGUCCCGCAACGAGCGCAACCCUUAUCCUUUGUUGCCAGCGGUCCGGCCGGGAACUCAAAGGAGACUGCCAGUGAUAAACUGGAGGAAGGUGGGGAUGACGUCAAGUCAUCAUGGCCCUUACGACCAGGGCUACACACGUGCUACAAUGGCAUAUACAAAGAGAAGCGACCUCGCGAGAGCAAGCGGACCUCAUAAAGUAUGUCGUAGUCCGGAUUGGAGUCUGCAACUCGACUCCAUGAAGUCGGAAUCGCUAGUAAUCGUAGAUCAGAAUGCUACGGUGAAUACGUUCCCGGGCCUUGUACACACCGCCCGUCACACCAUGGGAGUGGGUUGCAAAAGAAGUAGGUAGCUUAACCUUCGGGAGGGCGCUUACCACUUUGUGAUUCAUGACUGGGGUGAAGUCGUAACAAGGUAACCGUAGGGGAACCUGCGG
rnacentral:rRNA from 1 species